rnacentral:pre_miRNA from 13 species
CUGUGCUCUUUCCACUAGGCCACGCUGCUUCUCAAAGAAUGAGAAGCAGCGUGGCCUAGUGGAAAGAGCACAGGU